GAUUGAGAGCUCUUUCUUGAUUUUUAGGUGGUGGUGCAUGGCCGUUCUUAGUUCGUGGGGUGACUUGUCUGCUUAAUUGCGAUAACGAGCGAGACCUUACUCUGCUAAAUAGCCAGGCUAACUUUGGUUGGUCGCCGGCUUCUUAGAGAGACUAUCAACUCAAGUUGAUGGAAGUUUGAGGCAAUAACAGGUCUGUGAUGCCCUUAGAUGUUCUGGGCCGCACGCGCGCUACACUGACAGAGCCAACGAGUUCUUUUCCUUGUUCGAAAGAAUUGGGUAAUCUUGUUAAACUCUGUCGUGCUGGGGAUAAAGCAUUGCAAUUAUUGCUUUUCAACGAGGAAUGCCUAGUAAGCGCGUGUCAUCAGCAUGCGUUGAUUACGUCCCUGACCUUUGUACACACCGCCCGUCGCUACUACCGAUUGAAUGGCUCAGUGAGGCCUUCGGACUGGCUCGAGGAGGUUGGCAACGACCACCUCAAGCCGGAAAGUUCGUCAAACUCGGUCAUUUAGAGGAAGUAAAAGUCGUAACAAGGUCUCCGUAGGUGAACCUGCGGAGGGAUCAUUA
rnacentral:rRNA from 1 species